ACCUUACAGGUCUUGACAUCCCGAUGCUUAUUUCUAGAGAUAGAAAGUUACUUCGGUACAUCGGUGACAGGUGGUGCAUGGUUGUCGUCAGCUCGUGUCGUGAGAUGUUGGGUUAAGUCCCGCAACGAGCGCAACCCCUAUUGUUAGUUGCCAUCAUUCAGUUGGGCACUCUAGCGAGACUGCCGGUAAUAAACCGGAGGAAGGUGGGGAUGACGUCAAAUCAUCAUGCCCCUUAUGACCUGGGCUACACACGUGCUACAAUGGUUGGUACAACGAGUUGCGAGUCGGUGACGGCGAGCUAAUCUCUUAAAGCCAAUCUCAGUUCGGAUUGUAGGCUGCAACUCGCCUACAUGAAGUCGGAAUCGCUAGUAAUCGCGGAUCAGCACGCCCGCGGUCGAUACGUUCCGGGCCUU
rnacentral:rRNA from 1 species